UCAGGUGGCCGCAGAGAAUAGGCCCAAGCGACUGUUUACCAAAAACAUAGGUUUCUGCUAAGUCGCAAGACGAUGUAUAGGAGCUGACGCCUGCCCGGUGCUGGAAGGUUAAGGGGAUCUGUUAGAGUAAUCGAAGCAGUGAACUUAAGCCCCAGUAAACGGCGGCCGUAACUAUAACGGGCCUAAGGUAGCGAAAUUCCUUGUCGGGUAAGUUCCGACCCGAACGAAAGGCGUAACGAUUUGGGCACUGUCUCAACAACAGACUCGGUGAAAUUGUAAUUCCGGUGAAGAUGCCGGAUACCUGCGACAGGACGGAAAGACCCCAUGGAGCUUUACUGUAGCUUGACAUUGGGUCUUGGUACUACAUGUACAG
rnacentral:rRNA from 1 species